GUUCCAGAGGAAGGGGCGCUGAAACACAAGAGGAUCAUCGAGGUCAAGGACCACCAGUUCACGCGUCGCUUCUUCAAAACAGCCCACCUUCUGCAGCCACUGCACUGACUUCAUCUGGGGAAUUGGAAAGCAGGGAUUUCAAUGUCAAGUGUGCAGUUUCUCUGUCCACAAGCGAUGUCACGAGUAGUAACGUUCACCUGUCCAGGAGCCCCCACUGCUCCUUCAGAAG